rnacentral:lncRNA from 1 species
AGAAUUACAGACAUCCCAAAAUUUGAUGUAUGUAACAAAAAUGAAAUGGAGCCUUUCAAAAGAUCUCCUGUGCAGCAGGGUCCGAAGAAUCCAAGAAUCCAGACAGCACAGUUGAAAGCAAGGGAAUUAAUAGCUUCUAUUGCUACUGAUUCUGGACAGGAGAAGUCUAUGUCUAAACAGUCAGCUAUUCAAAUCCAAACUUCUUCAGAUUUGCUUGAAGUUCAGCCUGUUGAAAUCGUCAGUGGUCAACUGCAUAAACCAAGUAAAGGAAAUGCUGAAAUAGCAAUGCCAUGCAAACUGUCUGUUCGUUCAAUUGAAAAGACCGCUCUCAUGCUAUUUGAGGUACCGUAGAGUUACAGAGCUUUGGUAUAUAAAAGGGAACAGAGGUAGAAAAACUGCAAUUUCAGACACUAUGUUAGAAUGUAAACCCA